rnacentral:rRNA from 1 species
AGUGAACGCUGGCGGCAGGCUUAACACAUGCAAGUCGAACGGCAGCACAGUAUGCGAUUGCCCGUACGGGUGGCGAGUGGCGGAAGGGUGAGGUAUACAUGGGAAUCUCAUCUUUAGAGGGGGAUAACGAAGGGAAACUUACGCUAAUAACGCAUACGACCUACGGGUGAAAGCAGUGGAUCUUCGGACCUUGCGUGGUUGAAUGAGCCGGUGUCGCGUCAGCUAGUUGGAGGGGUUCAGGCACACCAAGCCGACGCUCCGUAGCUGGUCUGAGAGGAGGAACAGCCACGCUGGGACAGGAACACCGGCCAGACUCCGACGGGGGGCAGCAGUGGGGAAUAUUGGGCAACGGGCGCAAGCCUUAUCCAGCCAUGCCGCGUGGGUUAAGAAGGCCAUCGGGUUGGAAAGCCGUUGUGUUGGGAAUGGAGAGCAGCAUGUUAAUGCGCCGCUGUUCUGACGGUACCCAAAGAAUAAGCACCGGCUAACUUCGUG